ensembl:antisense
GUCCCUGGCAACCCAAGGUAGAGAGUAGAAGGAAAGAAGCAGAGUCUACAGUACAUUCUUGGGGAGUCGGGCUAGUCGCCCCCCCUCACGCCCCCCGGAUCCACAACAGGAGAUAUCGUGAAUCAGUUCUUUCUAGCUCCAAAUUUUCAGAUGUGUGUGAAUGUGAGGGUUCUGUCACAGAACCCACUUGCUCUAGAUUUCCUGAGGGAUCUGACAACAGCAAUGUGAAAGCUAGUAACAGCAAGCUUCCCCAGCCAAGGGGCUGUGUGAGCUUUCAUCACAGCCUGUCUCUGGCAUGGUCAGCCAAGCCACCCCUAAGCCUAGAUCUGCACUGCACAUCCAAAUGGGCUUCUCUCCGCCUCCUGCCCAGCCCUCCCCCGCUCCCUGCACGCCGGACCCGCCUACCCGCAGAGUUCCUGGAUUUGCAAGUCUAGGCUGCACCCGGGACCAACCUUCAUGUUAAGCGCGAAGAACAAGCCACACUGUCCCAACUUUGAGAACACCGCAGAGUUUGGAGAAUCACAAACGUAAAAAGAACCCGGAAGCACAGAGAGCAGAGUCCUGUCUAGCGGGGUCAUACAGAAAGAGAGAGAGAGACUACAUUUCCCAGAAGUCUACGCGAAGGACUACCCGGAACCAAAGAAGGCAAAGAAUUUAAAGCGCAUGGAUUGUAUGUAACUGGAAUUAGGCUGCUUUUAAAAAUCCCAAAUUUACAAAGGGCAUUUUGAGAAUAUGAGUCCAGCCUUUAACGGUAAUAUGUAUUAGAUUUACUUCUUACUCUGAUCAAUGCUGUGACUUAAAAAGCUCAGGGGUUCCUAGAAUCUUAUGGGGGGCAGAAAAAAAAUCACAUUGAGUCAAUUUUACUUUAAAAUAACGGAGCAAGAAGCUACUUUAGGGCACACCACAAACUCUUUAGGAUAGUUUUUGAAACCAAGUUUCCUGGAAAUAUUCUGAAAUCUCAGCUACUCUGGGGUUUGAGACAGAAGAAUCACAAGUCUAUGUCCCAAAUUACACAGUACCAAAAGAGAUGGGGGCUACUCACUGGUGAAGCACUUGCCUGGAGUGAAGGAGGCCUUGGUUUAAUACCCAUUAUGACACUAAAUCAAAGAGGAAAAAAAAAUAACCGAACAGAUUUGAUGUGUACACUGAAAUCCACGGUUUGGGGCGUGGACUAGGGAACACAGAUGUCUCUUACCUAUAAGUCCCAGAAACCCUUUGAGAUUUUCAUCUGUCCUUAGUCCCCUUGUCCACACGUUCCUCCGAUAUCCGUGUAAACAAUUUAACAUUUGAGAGAGCUUCACCAGAUUCUCUUUCACAAUCUCAUACAACUAUUCACCACCAAAUGUUCUUCCUGGCUCCUCUCCCAGUUAGAGGAAAACUGGUCUUGGAAUCAGUAUGGUGUGUGAACUGACUCCUGACCCACUAUCCAACACUCAUCAUAAGAUUUCUCUCUGUAUUACUUCGGAUCUGCCCUAUUCAACUUCCAGUCUCUUUCUGGACUCCUUACAUUACUCCCAUUCAUGUGGAAGUACUUAAAGGUUCUUUUGUUUUGUUUUGUUUUUUGCUUGAAGUUCACUCUAUUCCCUCAUCUCAUAACACAGGAAUGAAUCUUCCUUUAAUACAAAGGUAUCAGAAAUAUGUUCCUGAUCAUACAGAAUGAACUCAUUGCAAGAAAGGGGCUGGACUGACACCACGGAGUGAUGGGACUCCCUAUCUCGUGUGUAUGUAUUCCUGUACUGGUAACAUCUGAGACCCAACGAUAAACCCCACGAGAGGAAAGAGUUUGUUUUCGUGCCAUGGUCACUGAUUCACAAUGAGAUUACUUCUUGGAUGAGAGAGUGGGAAGAUCAGAUUGUUCUUUUUUUGUUUCAUCACCAGAAAGAAAUUGUGCUGGGUUUUAUAUCAAUUUGACACAAGCUAAAGUCAUCAGAGGAGGAAGCCUCAGUGAGAAAAAGCCUCUAUAUGGUUGGGCUGUGGGCAAGCCUGUAGGGCAUUUCAUCUUCACAAUAAGUAAUAGAUGUAGGAGGGCCUAGGAUGUUGUGGGUGGUGCCAACCUUGGGCUGGGGUCCUGGGUUCUCUAAGAAUCAGGCUGAGUAAGCAACACCUCUCCAUGGCCUUGCAUCUGCUCCUGCUUCCAGAUUCCUGCCCUGUUUGAGGUUCUGUCUUGGCUUUCUCCAAUGGACAGUAGUCCAGGAUAUGUAAACCAAAUAAACCCUCUUGUCCCCGUG